rnacentral:lncRNA from 1 species
UUUGUCCCUUCCUGUCGCUGCUGUAAAGGAUGGCACUUUGUCCCUCGGUGUCCCCUCCCUGAGGCCCGGGCCCGCGCCCCGCCGUCCCCGCCCGCGCUCUCACAGGCCCCGCCCCGCCCCACGCGGGGUUCCCCUCAGCGCGCGCGCCUCCCCCGCCGUCGGGGCGUCGGCUUCUGCUCCGGGCUCCGGGCUCCGUCCCGCGCUGGCGGGGCACGUGCGGGUGCGGCCUCCGGCGCGGGGCAAGGCCGCGGAGGGCAGGGACGGGCGGCGGGGGCGGGGGCGGCGCUGCGGCCGCGCCCUUCCCGCGCUCGGCCCUCGUCGGCUUUCGGCGUCGUCCGACCGCACAGCAGCCUUCCGAGGGCGCCAGGGUUUCAGGUGCGUGAGGCGCGGGGGGGCCCCUCCCCUCUCCUCUCCUCCCCGGGAGCGUUAGAAAGAGGGGGCGUCCUCCAGGGAGCCCGGGGCGCCCCGCCGAGAGGGCCCUGGCGGCUAAAGCAUGCGAGGAAGGAACCUGAGGCCUCCGAAGGAAGUCGGGGUGCCCGCGGGCCUGGCUUAAAGGAGACCGGCGUCGCCCCGCGGCUGCAGCCGAAUUCUUGGCUUCAGUUCCAGGCACUGCCCUCUGUCUGCAAGGCAAGGUCCAUGCCCAUACCCCCUCCCGAGGGUGGUCCCCUUAACCUCCGUCCCAGACAGGCUCCCAGGGUGGGGGCGGGGAGCCUCGGGGCUCCGAGGCCAGGGGACUGGCGCGUCAUUGGCGACUGUCACCCUGCCACCGCUGCUUCUGGGGCCAGGGCCUCGCUUGGUGGACCCCAGGGUCCCACAGAGGCCUCCCUGCACCCUGGGGGUCCUCAGACUCUCCUGCUCCGGCCCCCUGAGGUUCUGGGAGUCAGAGUCAGGUCCCAGCAUGCAGGAGAGACCCUCCGGGGUGCUGCGGUCCGGGCAGCUACUGGGCCAAACCCUCUGCUGCCCUCUUGCCUUACUGGCUUCAGAAGUGCGCAGAGAGGGGUUAUGGCAAAAGGAAACCAGUUCUUCGGGUUCCUGGUGUUGCCCUGGUUACGUUCCUCUUCUGGAUGCCACCUCCUUAGCCUGGCCUCUCGAGCUUUCCUGGGGCCUGGGCUGAGGGGCGGUCAAGUUGGGCUGUUCCGAUGGAGUCCUUUAUGGACGGUCCGGGUUACCUGA